UCCCGGUUUCCCGGGCAGUUCCAUCAGAGUGCCCAAAAAUGGUAGCAACUGAUAGCAGGAGUUGCGCUCGUUAUAGGACUUAACCCAACAUCUCACGACACGAGCUGACGACAGCCAUGCAGCACCUGUGUACCCGUCUAGGCAAAGCCUAGAAGAUUGUAUUUCUACAACUGUCAAGUACAUGUCAAGCCCAGGUAAGGUUCCUCGCGUAGUGUCGAAUUAAACCACAUGUUCCACCGCUUGUGCGGGCCCCCGUCAAUUCUUUUGAGUUUUAGUCUUGCGACCGUACUUCCCAGGCGGAUCACUUAGCGCGUUAGCUACGACACUGAUUCCGCGAAGCGAAAUCAACAUCAAGUGAUCAUCGUUUACGGCGUGGACUAC
rnacentral:misc_RNA from 1 species